UUGCUCCUACGGGAGGCAGCAGUGGGGAAUAUUGCACAAUGGGCGAAAGCCUGAUGCAGCGACGCCGCGUGAGUGAAGAAGUAUUUCGGUAUGUAAAGCUCUAUCAGCAGAGAAGAAAAUGACGGUACCUGACUAAGAAGCCCCGGCUAACUACGUGCCAGCAGCCGCGGUAAUACGUAGGAUGCGAGCGUUAUCCGGAUUUAUUGGGUUUAAAGGGUGCGUAGGCGGAAUGCCAAGUCAGCGGUAAAAUCGCGGGGCUCAACCUCGCUCCGCCGUUGAAACUGGCGUUCUUGAGUGGGCGAGAA
rnacentral:rRNA from 1 species